rnacentral:rRNA from 1 species
GACGAACGCUGGCGGCGUGCUUAACACAUGCAAGUCGAACGAUGAACCAGGGCUUGCCCUGGGGAUUAGUGGCGAACGGGUGAGUAACACGUGGGCAACCUGCCCCAGACACCGGGAUAACCUCUCGAAAGAGUGGCUAAUACCGGAUAUGACCACUUCGGGCAUCCGACGGUGGUGGAAAGGAUUCUGGUCUGGGAUGGGCCCGCGGCCUAUCAGCUAGUUGGUGGGGUAAUGGCCUACCAAGGCGACGACGGGUAGCCGGCCUGAGAGGGCGACCGGCCACACUGGGACUGAGACACGGCCCAGACUCCUACGGGAGGCAGCAGUGGGGAAUAUUGCGCAAUGGGCGAAAGCCUGACGCAGCGACGCCGCGUGAGGGACGAAGGGUCUUCGGAUUGUAAACCUCUUUCAGCAGGGACGAAGCGAAAGUGACUGUACCUGCAGAAGAAGCACCGGCUAACUACGUGCCAGCAGCCGCGGUAAU